rnacentral:rRNA from 1 species
UACGGGGGGGGCAAGCGUUGUUCGGAAUUACUGGGCGUAAAGGGCGCGUAGGUGGCCAACUAAGUCAGACGUGAAAUCCCUCGGCUUAACCGGGGAACUGCGUCUGAUACUGGAUGGCUUGAGAUUGGGAGAGGGAUGCGGAAUUCCAGGUGUAGCGGUGAAAUGCGUAGAUAUCUGGAGGAACACCGGUGGCGAAGGCGGCAUCCUGGACCAACACUGACACUGAGGAGCGAAAGCCAGGGGAGCAAACGGG